AUUGAACGCUGGCGGCAGGCUUAACACAUGCAAGUCGGGCGGAGUGAUGGUGCUUGCACUAUCACUUAGCGGCGGACGGGUGAGUAAUGCUUAGGAAUCUGCCUAUUAGUGGGGGACAACAUCUCGAAAGGGAUGCUAAUACCGCAUACGUCCUACGGGAGAAAGCAGGGGAUCACUUGUGACCUUGCGCUAAUAGAUGAGCCUAAGUCGGAUUAGCUAGUUGGUGGGGUAAAGGCCUACCAAGGCGACGAUCUGUAGCGGGUCUGAGAGGAUGAUCCGCCACACUGGGACUGAGACACGGCCCAGACUCCUACGGGAGGCAGCAGUGGGGAAUAUUGGACAAUGGGGGAAACCCUGAUCCAGCCAUGCCGCGUGUGUGAAGAAGGCCUUAUGGUUGUAAAGCACUUUAAGCGAGGAGGAGGCUACUGAGACUAAUACUCUUGGAUAGUGGACGUUACUCGCAGAAUAAGCACCGGCUAACUCUGUGCCAGCAGCCGCCGCGG
rnacentral:rRNA from 1 species